GAUGAACGCUAGCGGCAGGCCUAAUACAUGCAAGUCGAGGGGCAGCAGGAAUAGCAAUAUUUGCUGGCGACCGGCGCACGGGUGCGUAACACGUAUGCAACUUGCCCUAUACUGGGGGAUGGCCCGAAGAAAUUCGGAUUAAUACCCCAUAACAUCAGAACAAGCAUUUGUUUUGGUUCAAAACUCCGGUGGUAUAGGAUGGGCAUGCGGUCGAUUAGCUUGUUGGUGAGGUAACGGCUCACCAAGGCGACGAUCGAUAGGGGGCCUGAGAGGGUGAUCCCCCACACUGGUACUGAGACACGGACCAGACUCCUACGGGAGGCAGCAGUAAGGAAUAUUGGUCAAUGGGCGAAAGCUUGAACCAGCCACGCCGCGUGAAGGAAGACGGCCCUAUGGGUUGUAAACUUCUUUUGUACGAGAAUAAACCUCAGGACGUGUCCUGAGCUGAAGGUACCGUACGAAUAAGGAUCGGCUAACUCCGUGCCAGCAGCCGCAGUAAUAC
rnacentral:rRNA from 1 species